AUUGAACGCUGGCGGCAGGCCUAACACAUGCAAGUCGAGCGGAUGAGUGGAGCUUGCUCCAUGAUUCAGCGGCGGACGGGUGAGUAAUGCCUAGGAAUCUGCCUGGUAGUGGGGGACAACGUUUCGAAAGGAACGCUAAUACCGCAUACGUCCUACGGGAGAAAGCAGGGGACCUUCGGGCCUUGCGCUAUCAGAUGAGCCUAGGUCGGAUUAGCUAGUUGGUGAGGUAAUGGCUCACCUAGGCGACGAGCCGUAACUGGUCUGAGAGGAUGAUCAGUCACACUGGAACUGAGACAAGGUCCAGACUCCUACGGGAGGCAGCAGUGGGGAAUAUUGGACAAUGGGCGAAAGCCUGAUCCAGCCAUGCCGCGUGUGUGAAGAAGGUCUUCGGAUUGUAAAGCACUUUAAGUUGGGAGGAAGGGCAGUAAGUUAAUACCUUGCUGUUUUGACGUUACCGACAGAAUAAGCACCGGCUAACUCUGUGCCAGCCGCCGCGGUAAAAC
rnacentral:rRNA from 1 species